ensembl:snRNA U6 U6 spliceosomal RNA
UUGCUUCCACAGCACAUAUACUAAAAAUUAGAACAAUACAGAGAAACUUAGCAUGGCCUCUGCACCAGGAUGGCAUGCAAAUUCCUGGAUCAUUCCAUUAAAAA